AUUGAACGCUGGCGGCAGGCCUAACACAUGCAAGUCGAGCGGAGCGGCGGACGGGUGAGUAAUGCCUAGGAAUCUGCCUGGUCGUGGGGGAUGACGUCCGGAAACGGGCACUAAUACUGCAUACUAUCAGAUGAGCCUGGGUCGGAUUAGCUUGAUGGUGGGGUAAAGGCCUACCAAGGCGACGAUCCGUAACUGGUCUGAGAGGAUGAUCAGUCACACUGGAACUGAGACACGGCCCAGACUCCUACGGGAGGCAGCAGUGGGGAAUAUUGGACAAUGGGCGAAAGCCUGAUCCAGCCAUGCCGCGUGUGUGAAGAAGGUCUUCGGAUUGUAAAGCACUUUAAGUUGGGAGGCGUUACCAACAGAAGAAGCACCGGCUAACUUCGUGCCAGCAGCCGCGGUAAUUC
rnacentral:rRNA from 1 species